CUUGCUUAGUGGGUUAGGGAUCCAGCGUUGCUGUGAGCUGUGAUGUAGGUCGCAGAUGCGGCUCGGCUCCCUCGUUGCUGUGGCUCUGGCAUAGGCUGCCGGCUACGGUCCAAUUAGACCCCUAGCCUGGGAACCUCCAUAUGCUGUGGGAGUGGCCCAAGAAAAGGCAAAAAGACAAAAAAAAAGAAUUUGAACUGUUGAUACACAUAGCAACUUGGAUGCAUCUCAGAGGUGUUGGGCUAAAUGAAAAAAGCCAGUGUCAAAAAGUUAUAAGCAAUGGGAUUCCAUUUAUCUGACACCCUCAAAAUGACAUAACUAUGGGGAAGGCAUCAGUGGUUAUCAGGGUUUGGGAAAAGGGGCAACAGAAGGGAAUUUAUUUUGGUGAUACAAUCGCUCUGUGUCUCGGUAAGGUGAUGGUAAACAUGCAAGUUACAUGCCAGAAUUCAUAGAACUAUUCACAGAAAAUUGUAUUUCACUGUACACUAAUUUUAAAAACUUAAAAAAAAAUGAAAGCAGGAGAAUAAAAUAAAGGAACAGGAAACCAAGGAAGGUUGUGUGUCUGAGCCCACGUAAGAGCAUGGCUGUGGUCUUGCAAUUGUUCUGCUCCAUUUAUCCACCCACUCAGCAGGCUUUGCUCUCCUUGGUUGAGGCUCAGAGGCAGCCGUACCCUCCCACUGCCCAUGAUCAGGUCCCCCACCCAAGACCUAUAAGGAGUUGUUCAGUUUCUGUUUGAGCAAAUCCCAUAUCAGGAAGCCNUUUCACCCAUUUCAAGACUUCAUAUUAGAUUGACAUGUAUGCCUUCAGUGUAACUUCUUCUCUGUAACUUCCACCAGUGGAAUCUAAUUUUGCUUACUGGCAAUGAAAUAAAACUAAGUCCAGCCUCUCUUAAAACUCCAGAAACAUCUGUAUAUCACAGGUACAUCUCUGCCCUCUCAGCAUCCCACCUCUGCUUCUCAGAACUGUUUCUUUGCUUAUCCAGCUACACUAAUUUCCAGACAUUCCACCUCUGUGAUCUCUUUUGUCUCCUGCUUCAUUUGCCAGCAUCCCUCUGAAAAUGUAGGGGCGAGAGUGAAUGUGCAUCCUUUGCCUGUGGUUGGACCUAGAGGACAGAGCUGGCCUGCUCUCUUGCAGAUUUGAAGAGCUUUUCGGUUAGGGACACUGAUGGUUGCUUCUCUGUCUCUAGAAGCCGUAUUGCUCAAUGGACCUAAAGUGUGCAAACACUGUCUCUUUACACAUGCUGCUAUGAAGCCUCAGCUCCCCAUCCUGUUCAGUAGGAGCAGGUUCGUUCUUUCACCGCAGAUUUCCAAAUUUACCCUGUUCAGUUAGGUCUUCCUAGGGUGACCAUCCUGAACUUUCCAGAUCACUUUGCAACCUGCAGGGUUCUGGCAUCUGGAGUAGCCUUGGGCUCAGUCAUGCCACAUCUUCCUCUCCACCAUCUUCAUCUUCUAAAAGAAUUGAAGGAGGGAGAAGUCUGAACUUCCUUUCUGCCCCAUUACCUAACUCACAGGGAGAGUCUCUUCCACAAGAAAAGAAAUUCCAGUAUGCCCUAAGGUUUCCUCUGCCUGUGUUCCUUUCUGAAAAGAUUCCUCUUGUGUUCUGAAUGUUGUCACUCUUUAUAGGUGACUGUUAAUUGGAUGCCUUGAUGCCAGUUUAGGUGGCUGGGGCAGGAUGGCGCCGCAUAAACACAAGUUAUCACCCUAAUUAGCAUCACUGCAUAUUUAAGCAGGUUGGAAACCUUGCGGCUUCCUCUGGAACUUCAUAGGUGGGUAGUUAUUAUGGAAUUACUACACAUCUGCGUAUCUUAUUUCCAUAAUUGCCACACUUGAAAGGUGACUACUGGUCUGUUCUAGAAUGAAAAGGUGUUAAUUAUGUUAAUCAUCAGGAAUUCUGAAGCAGCUUCUCUUCCUGGGUCCUGGAGGGGAGUGGUGCUGGAGAGGACAGAAAAGGCAGGUGGCCGGGGACCCGGUGCCAGUGUGAGGGCAAAAGGACAUGAAAGCAAGUAGAGACUCUAUGGAGAAAAGUGAGAACACUAGCUAAAGGAAAAGCAAAUUAUAAAUGGUCAUUGAAGCAAUUUGUUGGCAUGAUUAAAAAGUGCUCUCGGCUAUAAUGAGGUAAAUUAAGUAGGCCAGGGAUUUGGUGCAAUUUGCUUCUGAACUAAGUCCCCUGUGGAUUUCGUCCAGCAAGACUUCUUCUAACAGAUUGCUCAGGCUAUGAGGGUAGAGGGAGAAGGUGCUAGAUUGUCUUUGUUUCUCCUUCUAGAAAUCAGGUGUUUAAUUCCAAAAUUCUUUUUUUUUUUCUCAUUUCACCAAAAACAAAUAACUAAAAUCACCCCAGAAGCAAAAAUUCUGUGCUGGUUCAUCUUAUCAAAAGCUUGGAACAUCAGGACAGAGAGCCCAACGUACUAGUGCAACGUUACCAAACCCGAGCUGUUUUAUAUAGCUAUUGCUGAACUCGUUGACCAAGAGACUGCAUUCGGUUUGGAGCCAUUACCUAAAACAUCUGCCACUAGGUUCUAAAGGCCUACUCUUGAUGGGGGAGAGGGAGCAUGUGGCUUCUAGGUGGGUGGUCCCUCUGGUUGCUGGUCUGGCUAAUGGCGCCUCCACCUUCUUCACUGUGUCUCUCCCAAAGCAUCAGACACUGUCAAAAGGGCCCUUUUAUGAGUGACCUUAAAAUAGUCAAACUGCCCAUCCUGCCAAUCUGAGUGAAGUGACUCGGGGAGAAAGAAAAGAAGAAGCUUCAUUAAAAACAGCUUAAACUUUCUGUCAAGUAGACUUUGCACAUGGCCAUUAAAAUACAGAUUUCAUGUGAGCUCUUCCUUUAUUCUCAAAUCACCAAACUUGUACUGUGUUGAUUGUAAGCUUCUUUUGCUUUAAGUCUGCCAUGGACCUAAUAUUUUUCUUUUUACUCUUUUUCAACAGAGGAAGUAGGUAGUAUAUAAUGUUAUCCACUUUAUGCGUGUUCUUGUGUAUAUACAAGCACACAAAUGGGACUUUCUUUAACUUAAGGUUAAUACAUUUCCCAACAAAUGUAGGGUAAUCUAGCUGAAGAGGAGAAUUGGGAAUAGUAGCCGGCAGGCGUUUCAAUCACAGAUUCUAAAUUGCGCUUCAGUUAAUAAUGAAAUUCUUGCAGGAAUUAGCUGCAAACUUGUAUUCAAGAAUCGAAUUUGAGGAGUUGUCCGUAUUGAUUUGUGAGGUAUAAUGGUGCUUCUCGUGAUCAGAAUGCUGUGAAUUUGCUGCCUGCAGAGAGAAUGAGAGAGUGGAUCAGGGGAGUCUGUUCUGGGAGAGCCCCAGCUAUGCUGAAGCACAUAGUCCCUGCUGGUGGGGAGUCAGAAGCCUAGUCAUUGUGUACAGGGAUUUUCAUAGAGUGUGGUAAAGACCUGGCUUAAUUUUAUUACAUAUAUAAGAGCAUUAUUUUAUAUAGCUAUGUAAAUAUAUACAUAUAUCUAUAUAGAUGUGUACAGACAUAAACAUACAUGCAUGUAUACAUAUGCAUGAAUUAUGUAUCUUAUACUUGCAUAUAUAAUAUGUGAAAUAAAAAUCUGUUCUUUCAUUAAAAACAACUUCAAUGCCAGAACUUCUCUCCUCAUGUGCAAUUUCAGGGUCUCUGAAAAUCAUUUGCAACCAAGAUAAUAACAUAAAUUCUAGAAUUUACUGAAUGAAUAAACAAUUUGUAUUGAAAGUAUCUGCUUUACAUGAUAAUGUAAAGUCUGAUUUCUUCUUUAUAUUGGGUUUCAACACUUAUCUUUCUGCUAAGAAACCAAUGAACAACUUAUAUGUAAAUAUAAAUAUUUUUUGAAAAGUUGUUUCUGCCUCUCAUCCACGUGUCUGAAUUCUUCCAACUCCCCAGGGUACCCCACCUCCUGGGCUUCUUGCACCUGUUCUCAUUUUUCUGAGUAACCAAGCUGACAUUGUCACUUUCUGGAAGGAGAGCUUUACCUUGGGGGGUCUUGGAGAAUGUUGCUAUUAUACCUAUCUUUGAGUCACCAGGGGCUGAGUGUACUGUGCCCAGGUAUAUGUUAAUGAAAGGCAUAUCUUUGAAACCAUCAGAAGAUUGUAGGUUCCACUCUGAAGAAAUGAGGGACAGUCUUACCACUUGUAAAAGCCCUACUGGUUCUUUCCUCUUUCUCUGCUAGUGUAGAUGAUCUCGCUUGGCUGGGUAAUUACCUCCUCUGGAAAAAUGAUGAUUUGUCUUUAUUCUUGUGGUACUAAUGUUUUCCCAACCUAAUGUUUUAGUACAAGACUUCCUCCACAUAGGAGUGAAACAUGCAUAGUUUCAUAGUUGUCAUGAGAUGCUGAAUGAGAAACAAGAAAACCAGAAGAGACUCUUCUAAGAUCAUGGGGCACAGCGUGAAAGAGGAAGGUGUACUUAGAUGAAAUGAAGAGAAAAAUGUCAGCGGGUAGAAUUCCAGAGAGAGGGGAUCCUUUCGCCUCAAACCCUUUGCUUUUGCUCUUACUGUUUCCCAUUGUUCUUUCCACUUAUCUGAGUCCCAUUCAUCCUUCAAGACCCACUGCCACAUCUGCUCUCUCAAGCUGUCAGCUCCCUCCUCUGCUGUCUGCACAGUGAGUAUUUGCCCCGCUAAGUCACACUUAAUCCUCUGUACCUGAGGGUAGUUCUCAGCACCUUGCUCUCUGGUUACUGAGUUCUUAUUAAACUUUUCAUAUCUCCUCUCCCAUAUCACAUGCCUUUGUGUGGCUCUGGACAUGCAGUAGAUACUCAAAAAGUGAAUUUGAUCAAAGAUCUCAUAAGAUGUUCAGUGGUCUCCCUCUCUUAGGUUAGCUUUCUUACUCUGCAGAGGAUUGAUAGCUGACUGUUGAACAGAAGAUGAUAUAGUGACACUCACUAGAUACUUCCUCCCCAGCGGCCAGGCCCCAUCUUCUUUGUGUCCCCUUGUGUCCCACGCACAGAUCAGGCACACCGGAGCCCUCUCUCUGAAUUGAAAGGAAGAGAAAGGGCCACCUUCCUGAUGCUCUGGCCCCAAAUGAAAUAGCUGCCAGCUCAGAACCCAGAGCGUGGGCUGGCCUGGCUUCCUCUUGGGCCCAACCUGCAGUGACAGCCCUCCUCAACGCAAAAGAACUGAAAUGCUGCUGGAUCCUGAGACAGCUGGAGAUAACCAGGUGCAGGCUUGGCUGCCUUCCUCCAUCUAGGGAUCCAGGACUUCCUCCAUUUAGGGAAGUCACUAACCUACACCACCCACAGGAAAGGGGAAACGUUUCAAAUAUCUCUUUCUUUUUUUUUCUUUUUAAAAUUCUGAUUCUGUCUAUUCCCUCUUGAAUUGCACUUAUUUUGCUUGUUACUUUGUGUUGACUCAGGAAAAAUACCCCUAAAGCAGCUCCCCCCCCAUCACCAUAUCUGUCUUUUAUACCAUCUGCAGGUGAUCAGGGGAGUGAGAUUGGGAGGUGGGUGUUGGGGGAAAGGGGACUCUCAGUAAACUUGCAGGUGUCUUUGCACCCAGCCCUGCGUGGUGUCUUCUGAGCAGGUAGGGCCCUGGGCAGGGCAUGGCUGCAGGAUUCCUGGAUGUCAGCUCCUGGCCAGCCCACAAAGAUCUACCUUUAAGUACAGCAGUGCUAAGGCCAUUUACAGUCAGUACUGUACAUCCUAAUUAACAAAAAUAUUCAUUCCUUUGUCUUAGAGAUGAAUUUUGUUUCUCUCUCUAGAUCGACUUACCCUGCCCACUGUUCUUUGUUGUUUGUUGUUCUAACUCAGCUAGGAGUCCAGGAUUUAGUUUUUUCUUUUCUCUUUCCAAUCUCCACUCUCACACACAGAACUCUUACACUAUGCACUUUUUCAAUACACAAAUGAUAUUGUACCAUUGAUGAUGUUCUUUUUUUAAACAUUUUCCCCCAACACUCAACUUUAUUAUUAUUAUUUUUUUGUCUUUUUGUCUCUUGUAGGGCUGUACUCACGGCAUUUGGAGGUUCCUGGGCUGGGG
rnacentral:lncRNA from 1 species